rnacentral:rRNA from 1 species
GACGAACGCUGGCGGCGUGCUUAACACAUGCAAGUCGAACGAAGUGGCGAACGGGUGAGUAACGCGUAAUCAACCUGCCCUUCCGAGGGGGACAACAGUUGGAAACGACUGCUAAUACCGCAUACUGUAGGAGGGGAUUGCGUUGGCUUAGCUAGUUGGCGGGGUAACGGCCCAACAAGGCGAUGAUCAGUAGCCGGUCUGAGAAGAUGAACGGCCACAUUGGGAAUGGGACACGGCCCAGACUCCUACGGGAGGCAGCAGUGGGGAAUCUUCCGAAAUGGAGGAAAGUCGGACGAAGCAACGCCGCGGGAGUGAUGACGGCCUUCGGGUUGUAAAGCUAUGUUAAUCGGGACGCGGUACCGGAAGAGAAAGCCACGGCUAACUACGUGCCAGCAGCCGCGGUAAUUC